GGGAUGAACGCUGGCGGCGUGCUUAACACAUGCAAGUCGAACGGGAUCGGCUGGAGCUUGCUCCGGCCGUGAGAGUGGCGAACGGGUGAGUAAUGCGUGACCGACCUGCCCCGUACACCGGAAUAGCUCCUGGAAACGGGUGGUAAUGCCGGAUGCUCCAGUCCAUCGCAUGGUGGUCUGGGAAAGAUUUUAUCGGUAUGGGAAGGGGUCGCGUCCUAUCAGGUAGUCGGCGGGGUACGGCCCACCGAGCCUACGACGGGUAGCCGGCCUGAGAGGGCGACCGGCCACAUUGGGACUGAGAUACGGCCCAGACUCCUACGGGAGGCAGCAGUGGGGAAUAUUGCACAAUGGGCGCAAGCCUGAUGCAGCGACGCCGCGUGCGGGAUGACGGCCUUCGGGUUGUAAACCGCUUUUGUUGGGGAGCAAGCCUUCGGGUGAGUGUACCCUUCGAAUAAGCACCGGCUAACUACGUGCCAGCAGCCGCGGUAAUACGUAGGGUGCAAGCGUUAUCCGGAAUUAUUGGGCGUAAAGAGCUCGUAGGCGGUUCGUCGCGUCCGGUGUGAAAGUCCAUCGCUUAACGGUGGAUCUGCGCCGGGUACGGGCGGGCUGGAGUGCGGUAGGGGAGACUGGAAUUCCCGGUGUAACGGUGGAAUGUGUAGAUAUCGGGAAGAACACCAAUGGCGAAGGCAGGUCUCUGGGCCGUUACUGACGCUGAGGAGCGAAAGCGUGGGGAGCGAACAGGAUUAGAUACCCUGGUAGUCCACGCCGUAAACGGUGGAUGCUGGAUGUGGGGCCCAUUCCACGGGUUCCGUGUCGGAGCUAACGCGUUAAGCAUCCCGCCUGGGGAGUACGGCCGCAAGGCUAAAACUCAAAGAAAUUGACGGGGGCCCGCACAAGCGGCGGAGCAUGCGGAUUAAUUCGAUGCAACGCGAAGAACCUUACCUGGGCUUGACAUGUUCCCGACAGCCCCAGAGAUGGGGCCUCCCUUCGGGGCGGGUUCACAGGUGGUGCAUGGUCGUCGUCAGCUCGUGUCGUGAGAUGUUGGGUUAAGUCCCGCAACGAGCGCAACCCUCGCCCCGUGUUGCCAGCACAUGAUGGUGGGAACUCACGGGGGACCGCCGGGGUUAACUCGGAGGAAGGUGGGGAUGACGUCAGAUCAUCAUGCCCCUUACGUCCAGGGCUUCACGCAUGCUACAAUGGCCGGUACAACGGGAUGCGACAUGGCGACAUGGAGCGGAUCCCUGAAAACCGGUCUCAGUUCGGAUUGGAGUCUGCAACCCGACUCCAUGAAGGCGGAGUCGCUAGUAAUCGCGAAUCAGCAACGUCGCGGUGAAUGCGUUCCCGGGCCUUGUACACACCGCCCGUCAAGUCAUGAAAGUGGGUAGCACCCGAAGCCGGUGGCCCAACCAGUUCGCUGGGGGGAGCCGUCUAAGGUGAGACUCGUGAUUGGGACUAAGUCGUAACAAGGUA
rnacentral:rRNA from 1 species